AUGAGACGGACGGCAGCGGCCCGCUGGUCGCCGGCAGGGGCGGCUGGAGUCGAGGAAGCAGGAGGCCGAGGCGCGGGUGAGGAAGAUGGACGCGGCCGGUGCGCGCGACGGUGGUGCACGGCGCAUGGGAGAGGGAUGAGGGCAGCAGAGGGAGGUGGCAGUGUAGAUUCGCACGGUGGGGAGGCGAAGGUGCCAGCAGCGGGGUGGUUCGGCGCUCGAGCGGCACACCCCUUCUCUCUCUCUGGCGGCGGAACGAGGAAGAGAGGGAUCGGGACGAGGGAGAGAUCGAGAGGAGAGAGGAGUCUGGCUGCGCGGGACCCUGGCGGCGCAAGGGGAAACGAGGGAGAGGGGAGUCGGGCUCCCUGGAGUCUAGGGUUGGGUUAG
rnacentral:rRNA from 1 species